UAUGGUGGGGUGGAGCCAGAGCCACACACUUGUAGCAGAUCCACCUGAUGAGCCCAGCAGUGCUGAGAUCCCUCCGUGGACUUACAUGUAUACCUGAAGAACAGACGAGUAAAAGCUGUGGAGCGAUGUUACCUUCAAGACAUUUUUACCUGGGUGGUUUCAGGAGGACACUGCAACAGUCCGACAGAUUCACUGCCCACUGCUGAAGGUAAAAGAGCGAAAAUGUUUUUGUCUGUUUGUUUGUUGUGUUAAAGAUUUAUGUUAUCAACCUUUGUCUAACCAGACAAACCCCACUGAGAUCACAGAUCUCUUUUGCAAGGGAGGCCUGGGACUGAAGGCAACCUAAAAUGUAUUUUUUUUUUUUUUUUGACUGUGGUAAAAUAACCAAAGUACCAGGAAAAAAGGGAGUGUAGUUAUCCCAUGGUUAAUAAUGAAAGUCAUGAAAAAUGUCU